GCCCAUAGGUUGGGUCGUGACAACAUCCAUGUACGCAAAGGAAACAUAGAGUACAUCAAAUUAUCAGCUAUCAAGCCACUUCUAAAUUUACCCAAAAUCACCCAUCCAUUGUCUUCUCUAUUUCUCCGCCCUUAAUUUGCUGUGUUUUGAAAUAACUAUGCAUUAACAUCCUCAUCCUUUUAUGAUAACCAAGUCAAAAUGUUUCUUGGCAAAUCUACAUAAAUUUGUAACAAAUUAUAACCUACGACUUGAAAAAGAGUAUUCACAUUAAAGGACUGUUAGCAGCAUCUUCUGCAUUAAUAACUCCUAAAAAUUAAUCAAACUAAUACAACUAAAGCAACAACUUCAAAGCAUAUUCCAA
rnacentral:misc_RNA from 1 species